GAUGAACGCUGGCGGCGUGCCUAAUACAUGCCAGUCGAGCGAACAGACGAGGAGCUUGCUCCUCUGACGUUAGCGGCGGACGGGUGAGUAACACGUGUAUAACCUCCCUAUAAGACUGGGAUAACUUCGGGAAACCGGCGCUAAUACCGGAUAAUAUAUUGAACCGCAUGGUUCAAUAGUGAAAGACGGUUUUGCUGUCACUUAUAGAUGGAUCCGCGCCGCAUUAGCUAGUUGGUAAGGUAACGGCUUACCAAGGCAACGAUGCGUAGCCGACCUGAGAGGGUGAUCGGCCACACUGGAACUGAGACACGGUCCAGACUCCUACGGGAGGCAGCAGUAGGGAAUCUUCCGCAAUGGGCGAAAGCUUGACGGAGCAACGCCGCGUGAGUGAUGAAGGUCUUCGGAUCGUAAAACUCUGUUAUUAGGGAAGAACAAAUGUGUAAGUAACUAUGCACGUCUUGACGGUACCUAAUCAGAAAGCCACGGCUAACUACGUG
rnacentral:rRNA from 1 species